rnacentral:lncRNA from 1 species
CUGAACAGCAAGUUGACAAAAAAAUAUAUGCUGAAAGUUGUGAUACUUCAAAGGACAUAUAAUCUGCUGUGCUUUUCAAAACCCCAAAAUAGAUUGAUCUGUAGAAGAGAGAAGAUGCAAGAAUGCUCUGCAGUUUAGAAGAAAGUUUUCCAGACAGGAGUCUGACAACAAAACAAAAUGCAGUCUCCAACGCCAACCAGGCUGUGCAUUGGUAGACACCACAGUUUUGAGUACGAAGAAAGGGUUGCCAGUGAAUGUCUACUGCAUUACUGAAAUUUCUGUGAUCUUCAGUGCACUUGAGUGGCAACUUCCUGAUGAUUUGUUGGAUGAUAGAUAGCAGAGAGGCCUGUGGACUUGCUAUGUCGUGGAGAGCAGUGGCUCUAUCGCAGAAUGGGGAUUUCUUCUUGGAAGUGCAGGGGUCCAAGGGAAGUGAAUGAGACAGGCCUGGAGCAGGCUUCUGGCAAGUGCUAUGCUUCCACGGUGCCAGCAGCUACAAGGUUGCUUUUCUUUACAGAUGAAAACAGGCUGAACUCUUGUUUUAGUGUUUCUGCACCUCUUCACCUCCUCCUUUUUUCAAUGAAAAAUAAAAUUGUAAGUAGUAACAAUGGUUAUUGGAAAUGGUUUUGCUUAUUCAACCAGCAAGCAACAAAUUCUUACUGUACUAUUGAUCAUAUGCUGUGCUAUAUUUUCACAAUAUGA